rnacentral:lncRNA from 1 species
UUCAUUAAUUUUAUUGAUUGUCGAACUCAUUUAUGUUUUAAUUUUCAGAAUAAGUAUAACGAGAGUCAAAAAGGUAUCUCGAAAUAUAAGAAGAAGUUUCAAUCAAUGAAAUCGACAUUCAAACAGAUGAUUAAAGCUUUGAAGGCUUCCGGACUAGAUUUGACGAACAUUGCGUCCACUUCGAAGUCCAGCAUACUGUUUGCAAUAGAAUCAGAUCAUUCAGAUUCGGAUUCAGACGAUUCGAUUUUUGACGAGUGUUGAUUGAUAUUUUGUAUUUCAGUUUCCAUUUUAUUACAAAACAUCGAUUUCAAUUUCACGAUUUCAAUUCAACGAUUUCAUAAUCGUGUUUCAAAACAAUAACGAUUCAAAUGCUGGAUUUAAUAGCAUGUUUUAAAAAAAAUUGCACAAACAUUGUAUGACGGAUUUCCGCCAUCUUAUGUUACAAAGAUAGUCGACGGACAUCCGGUAUCAAUAUAAUUAACCGCCAUCGAUGAAUUGACGCUAACUUUUUUCGCGUCAUAUUAUACAUGGCGGAUGUCCGCCAUCUUUUAAUUUUCAGUUCCUGCGAAAAUUUUCAGAUUCAAUGGUGGAUUUCCGUCAUGUAAACUUUUUUGGUGGGAAAAGGGGAUGAAUAAUAGAUGACGGUCUUUAGAUUGCGGAUAUGAGAUUAUAAUGGCGGUGGUUGUUAUGGCGGUCUUAAGAUUGCGGAUAUGAGGUUAUAAUGGCGGUGGUUGUUAUGGCGGUCUUAAGAUGGCGGAUUUCCACCAUUGAUCACUUAUGACGGCGGAAAUCCGCCAUCUAAAGACUGCCAUCUUAGGUCUGUUUUCUUGUAGUGUGCCUACCACCCCUAAUCAGAUGUUCAGACUGAAAUAGUGAACACAAUACUUGAAAUGUACCUAAGAGCAUAUUGUCAUGAAAACCCUACUGUCUGGCUAAAGCUUCUACCAUGGGCUGAAUUGUGGUACAAUUCUAACUAUCAUUCUUCUUUGGGCAUGAACCCAUUCAAAGUUCUAUAUGGAAGAAGUAGAGGAAAUUCUCCAUUAUCAAGGAGAGUCUUCAAUUCAAGCAGUGGAUUCAUUGUUAAAAAUCUAUACUAGAGAAAUAAAGGUCAAUCUAAAAUCAGCCCAGACAAGAAUGAAGGCACAAGCAGAUAAGAAAAGAUCUGAAAUCUCAUUUGAAAUCGGAGAUUGGGUAUUGGUUCAACUAAAGCCAUAUAGGCAGAAGUCAGUUGCUCUAAAAUUACAUAACAAAUUGUGCAAAAGGUAUUUUGGGCCUUAUAAAGUAAUCAAAAAGAUAAAUGAGGUAGCUUACUGUCUAAAGCUAUCAGAAGGUAGUAAAAUCUACCCAACAUUCCAUGUGUUCCAGGUUGAAGAAAUUCAGUGGGCAAGUUUCAGAAAUUAGGGAAGAACAACCCUUAAUAUCUGUAAACAACAAAUCCAUAAUUUAUCCAACUGCUAUACAGGGUAAACGUACCAUUUUUCACAAGGGAAGAAGGAUGAAUCGGUGGUUGAUAGCUUGAAAUGGGGUCAUACCGGAAGACUCAUCAUGGGAAUUCCAAGAGGAUAUCUUGAGGCUUUUUCCAUCCAUCAACAUCGAGGGCAAUGUUGAAUCUGAAGAGGAAGGCGAUGAUGCAAGGCUAAUAAACUAUAACACCAUACAGGAGGACACCGCGCGCAUCAGAUAAACAACAGUCGAUGAGAAGUGGCGAAUGUAAGGAGGGCUUGGGGGGACUUGACCCCUCCCCCAAAAAAAAU